UACGGGGGGGGUAAGCGUUGUUCGGAAUUACUGGGCGUAAAGGGCUCGUAGGCGGCCAACUAAGUCAUACGUGAAAUCCCUCAGCUUAACUGGGGAACUGCGUGUGAUACUGGAUGGCUUGGAUUUGGGAGAGGGAUGCGGAAUUCCAGGUGUAGCGGUGAAAUGCGUAGAUAUCCGGAGGAACACCGGUGGCGAAGGCGGCGACCUGGGUCGACACUGACGCUGAGGCGCGAAAGCGUGGGGAGCAAACAGG
rnacentral:rRNA from 1 species